rnacentral:lncRNA from 1 species
CUUUUUUGAUUUGAAUCUCAUGGAACCCAUCGCCAGACCAUUCUCAUUUAAACUGUGAAGCCCCUCUAGCACCUAUUUGAACCAGCAUUUAAAUAUUACUUGUACUUGGACCAAGUGGUCCAUGGUAGACCACUAGUUUAUAAAUUGAUGUGAUAGAUUUUUGGUUUUGAUUUUAAUUUUAUUUUGACUCCAUUUUUUAUUCUGCUCGAUCUUUUUAAGCCUGC